rnacentral:rRNA from 1 species
AUUGAACGCUGGCGGCAGGCCUAACACAUGCAAGUCGGACGGUAGCACAGAGGAGCUUGCUCCUCGGGUGACGAGUGGCGGACGGGUGAGUAAUGUCUGGGGAUCUGCCCGAUAGGGGGGGAUAACCACUGGAAACGGUGGCUAAUACCGCAUAACGUCGCAAGACCAAAGAGGGGGACCUUCGGGCCUCUCACUAUCGGAUGAACCCAGAUGGGAUUAGCUAGUAGGCGGGGUAAUGGCCCACCUAGGCGACGAUCCCUAGCUGGUCUGAGAGGAUGACCAGCCACACUGGAACUGAGACACGGUCCAGACUCCUACGGGAGGCAGCAGUGGGGAAUAUUGCACAAUGGGCGCAAGCCUGAUGCAGCCAUGCCGCGUGUAUGAAGAAGGCCUUCGGGUUGUAAAGUACUUUCAGCGGGGAGGAAGGCGGUGAGGUUAAUAACCUUGCCGAUUGACGUUACCCGCAGAAGAAGCACCGGCUAACUCCGUGCCAGCCGCCGCGGUAA